rnacentral:sRNA from 1 species
CCCUAGCCCCGAUAGAAGCGGUUAUCCUUUUGUUUGUUUUUUACAAGCAAAAGAUAAAAGCGGAUAGCGGGAAAUAGC